GACGAACGCUGGCGGCGUGCUUAACACAUGCAAGUCGAACGGAAAGGCCCUGCUUUUGUGGGGUGCUCGAGUGGCGAACGGGUGAGUAACACGUGAGUAACCUGCCCUUGACUUUGGGAUAACUUCAGGAAACUGGGGCUAAUACCGGAUAGGAGCUCCUGCUGCAUGGUGGGGGUUGGAAAGUUUCGGCGGUUGGGGAUGGACUCGCGGCUUAUCAGCUUGUUGGUGGGGUAGUGGCUUACCAAGGCUUUGACGGGUAGCCGGCCUGAGAGGGUGACCGGCAACAUUGGGACUGGGAUACGGCCCAGACUCCUACGGGGGGCAGCAGUGGGGAAUAUUGCACAAUGGGCGGAAGCCUGAUGCAGCAACGCCGCGUGCGGGAUGACGGCCUUCGGGUUGUAAACCGCUUUCGCCUGUGACGAAGCGUGAGUGACGGUAAUGGGUAAAGAAGCACCGGCUAACUACGUG
rnacentral:rRNA from 1 species